GUUACAGGUGUGAGCCACUGCACCCAGCCUAAAUGAGUGAGUCUUUAACCUUCCCUCUGGUUGACUUGGGUAGAACUCCAAGGAAUAUGAAAGUCAAUUCUUCUAAUAGAUGGUAAAUGAAGCCCUUUGGAUUUGAAUAAAGAGAAUGGUUCUCUCUCUCUUUCUCUUGACUUCACUCUCUCUUGCUCUCUCCUGCUCUCUCUCUCUCUCUCAUCCUCCCAGGAAGAGACAGAUUAGACUUAUUGGGAGGCUGGUAAGUUAUGCUUUAAUAUGUUAAGCUAGGUGGAAACACCAUUACUAGAAAAUAAUUUAGACCUUGGGCACCUUGGACUCAACAUGUGUUGUACUGAUGUUUUCCAGUGCCUUGGUGAUUCAUACAACUUUCUGGGAUCUUUUGAUUAACAGAGAAAAAGUCAUAAGAUCAGCAAGAAGAGAAACUGUAGAUUUGCCUCAACUCAACAUGUUAAGUAAUCGCCUGACAUCUACAUAAGACCACCUCUUGGCACCUGGCUACACAAGCUGAAAUGGUUGUCUUUGGAAAAAGAAUAGACAUUCAUGGCAGACCAAAGAUCACUCUCUGAAGGUGUUAUGUGAGAAAUCCACACAGGAGAAACCCAAGAAAACCACGCAGGUAAAUGCUAGCCUGGAAAGACAGAGGGAAAACAUGCCAAGUGGAGCCCACCACAAGGACAGCAGUCAGAGCCCAAGAGCCCAGCUUUAAAAGGCAUGUAUUCACUGAUGUGCUUUAAAAUCUGUAAUAAACUGCAGUAUACUCUGGUAGUGAGGAAGAGUUGAGGCACCUGGAGAACUGGAAGACUAUUUGAAGAAGAUGAUGAUACCUACUGAUCACAUGAGUCAAGACUUUGGAGUCUUGUCUGCGGAUUACAUGAGUGGCCUCCAAUGGUGAAGAUUUGAAUUCAAGGUUGCCAAGCAACAAUUUCAGAAGGGGCCUCCUUGCCUUUAGAAAAUAAAUGGGAAACUGGCUCAAGCUGCCUUUGUAUCUAUCUGUCUUGGGUAGCCUCAGCAGUAUGCAUUAGCUUGGGGGAGGAGUAAGAAAAUAGGAGAUAGUUUUAUUCCUAUUUGAAUUAACCCAUUUAUGCCAGAGGUCUCAAAUUUUUUUUGUGUG
rnacentral:lncRNA from 1 species